UAUAAAGCUAAUAUGAAAUAUUUGAAAUUGUUUGUAGUAGUAAUAGCAGUAGCUAAAAGUCAUGGAAACUCUGUUGAAGUAGUUAGCUAAACGUCGUGGUCAAAUAGUUGGAUAUUUCUCAAUAACAAUAUUAGAUAAAUGGUAAAACCAAUUGAUAAAUUGUUUGAAUGUCCAGCAUCUGACACUUAAAGUGGUGGUAGAAUAUUACAAAUGCAAACCUGCAUAUUGACAGGUUUACAUUUGUUUAAUUGUUGUUAAAAAUAUUCUAACAAUCCACUCAGCAUUAAAGUCUAAAAUCAAUUCGAAUGGACAUAUUUGCAACAUGACGGGUGAUAUAGAUGAAGUGCUACUUCAGUGGCAGCGUUAAGAACCCCUUUAGUGUUAAUGUACUGUAAGUGUAGCCCAGAGUUUUUCUUUGAAAAGAAUGACAUUUGCAUUUGUAAAAAUGUAAACAAAGUGUGUUAGAUUGAGAGUGGGAACCCUCUUUGUCUCAGAAAGUGAUCAGUUUUCUUGACUUUUUCUCAAACUGAAUUUAUCCUGUUUUGGAAACGAGUGUCUGAGUGGGGCAUUGUAGCGUUUUCUCCAAACAUAUUUCAUGUAAAAUAAAGACAUUGUUUUUCCUUACAGUUUCCACAAACCUCACAAAGACAGGAAAGGUCGACAGUCUGUCUGCUCCCAAAUGCACAACAGAUACUGUACCCAAGAAGAAAGGCUGCCUUCAGUCAACAUCAAAAGAGCAUAAAGAACAAAGAUGAGACCUUAAGCCGGAGCUCUGCAGAGCGGUUGUGCUGCUGAACAAUUACAGUAUGUACAAAGUCUCACCUUUACGUCCAGAUUUUGAAGUAAUAUAUAUAAUUGUCACUAUUAUGACAAACAACAUAAUUCCAACAAGACGGUAUGGCCAGACAGUGUCCUGAGUUGUUGAGCUUUCUGUAGGAUAAAAAAAGGGCAUUUGACUCAGUAGAAAGAAUCACUUACAAUGGACAGAUGACAGUUACAUACGUUAUUCGUGUGCAUGUAUUUUAACCUAAAUAAUAUAGGAUACAGUUUUUGAAUGCACAAACCAUGUUUUAGCAUUAGAUUGAAAUAAAGCCAUGGACAGCUUGUGUCACUGAGAAACACUAUAUAUACAUUUUUCUUACUUGUGUCAACAAAACACGCGUUUUAGUAUUCAAAUUCAAACUAAGUCAUGGAAAGUGGAAUAGCCUAGCUGUGUUGCUGUGAAACACUAUAUAUACAAUUUUCUGUAUAAAACAAAAAAGAAUUGUUUAUAUACUGUACAUAUAACUGUGCAGUUCAUCCUGAAGACGUCUCCAAGGAAAGCUUUGUAAACUGUGUUGCGACGUCCUCUGAUUUGAACUUCACAAUUUGAGUCUUCACAUGCAAAAAGAAAAUAACAAAACAAACAAUUAGGAAGAAGGACUCGGUUACUCAUCCUCACUUGAAAGCAAAAUCAAAAUCUGAUAUCAGCUGAUGAUGACAUAACAUGACAGCAGUGAAAAUGAUCUAUCAUUUUAAAACUCAGCCCGUUAGAAUGAUACAGAAAAUAAUUAGAUCACAGAAAAAGGUGUAUGGGUUUUUCAUGCUGCAGCUGUGACCAUCAAACAGAGAACUCAGGUCAGGAAGUCAUCUGCAGUAUCUUUGUGGUUAAAGCACUUUUCUGCCUUCAGUUCUGUUUUACCUAAAACAAAUUCUUCCAAAUGAAAAUGUGUAGGUUUAUAUGUAAUGAUAGAUAUUGGGUUGGAGCCAUGGUUGGAAAUCAAGGUCUGCCAAUCUUAAGGAGGGAGGUGAGAUUUGGAGGAAAGUGCUGCCCAUGAGAGGCUAAAAUUUAAGGCUGAUUAUCUGAGUGUGAUUUCACAUGAGCUUACAGCACAAGGCUCAGUCAUUACAUUGCUAUUGUGUGAUACAAUAUGCAGCCUAGUAUUUAUCAGCACAAAGUAAUCAAAACUUUCAUAGAUGCGAAAAUCAAAUGUGGGGUGGACAAUGCAGUUGGACCAAGAAAAGCAAAUUUAAUGUAAUUUGUACAGCCUUAAAUGGCUGUAUAAGAAAUAUGGAUAAUAUUUUCUAUUAACCAUGAUGACCAUGACCAGUGAUGUAGAUAGAAUAAAAAUAACUUACUAUCAGCUUCCAAAAUGAGGACGAGGGUCGCUAAGAUGGACACAUGAAGCAUGGUCAGGCAGUAGUUAGGUCUCAUGGUGGAAACACUUCAAGAACCAGCUAUCCUGCUCUGUAAAGGAACUAUUACUGUUGGUCUGCUCUAGGUAUAACAGUAAAUGACAUGUGGUUGACUUUCCUUCCUGUUUUUGAUUAGUGUAUGUGCGUACCCCCAUUAGAGUGGGCUGUGACAGCAAAUACACUCAACAAACUUAUCAAAGCACUGAAGAAGCACACACAAACACACACACACAAUAGUUUUUUCAAUUUCUGUACAUCUGAAGCUUCGGGGUUUUUCGAAUAACCAUUCUUGCUUCGAUGCUAUUAGAUAGUUUUGAAGGAAAAACAGCACAAGGCGUGUCAGCGGUGAUAGCAUCAUAUAAUCAUAAUUCAAAUCAUCAGUUAUAGAUAUACAUUAUAUUAUCUGAUUGCACAAAAUGAGAUAAUUACAUUCUCUAUUUCCCAGUUAAAGAAACACAAUCAAUUAUUCUAAAAGGUUGUGAAACACUAAAUUACAAGAGUUCAUUAGUCAUUCAUAUAGUCAGAAAAUGAGUCAGUAGUUGAUAUUGUACAUCAGGUUUAAGUUCAUAAAACUAUUAGUUAUCAGAUGUUACCCAAUAGAGUAAAUUCAAGUCAUGGAAGUGCAACAGCACAAAGCACAUUUUUAACCUACUGUGAAAGCAUGACACAAAACAUUUCAACCAAGAUCACAAACAAAUCCAUAUUAGUUUUAGACAGUUUGCAAAAGUUUUGUAAAAUUGUAUUUAGUUUGGUAAGAGAUGGUGCUGCAGUGCUGCACUUCUGACUUCUCAUCCUGUAUGUGGCACUCAGCUGCUAGCACAUUGGUUCUUACUGAAGACGUAAAACUUUAAAAAAGGGGCACAUAUUUUCACUUUAUUCAUUGAUUUUAUAGUUUCAAAGUAAUUUCCUAAAACAGCUGUGCUCUGUAAGUUUUAGCGGAAGUUACUCAAACAAGACUUAACAGUUAAUUUUUGGAGACUAUUUUCCUCCGCGUAUUAAUACACAUUUGGUGCUCUAUUGAGUAUAAUAGUUGCAGGACUGUGUAUGUGGCACUGACUCUAAAUAAACUUUAGUGAAAGAACAUGUCAGCCAGUGCAACAAGGUGGCUUAUUGAGGUGUUCUGAAAAGUUUUUGGAUGAAACUGGAGCUCCAUGGCACAGAGUAAUAGGAUGGCUUUGGAUACAUAGACAAUACAUGUUAGUUGAUCAAUUCGAUGUAGAUUUGUUUUUUUAAUUGGAUUUGUUGACGAUAAGAAUAAUUUGGGAUAUCACCUGUCUUAUCCUUGAAAUAGUUUGCUCUCUGGCUAUUUCCAUUUUAAAACGAGGGUUGAAUAAUGCACCUACAAUUUAGUAGAUCACAAUGAUCUGAGGGAAUGCACCAUGGAGGGAUUAUGUCAGUAUUUUUUCCAGGUCUUCUGUAAUGUAAACAAGGCAACCUUACAGCAAAACAGGAUAAGUACCUUUAUCUUCUUAUCUUCUAAAAUUGUUAAUAUAAAAAAAAUCACAAUAGCAAUGUUAGCAAUUUAAGAAAACAUUAAAGCUCAUCAGCUUCUGUGUAUUAUUUCUCAUAUUUCCGAAUGUUAAAAGCCCUACACACCUGUGGUGCACCUAGCAUAUGUUUUCAGUUAUCGUGUCUGAUUAGACAUCUUCCCUAGACUGUGCAAAUACGUAGAGACUGUGCAUGAUUUCCCUUAAUUCUUAUGUUGCACGUUGUUAGUGCGGGACAACUUGCACCUCUCUCACAGGCUGUGCUUCAUCUGGCCAUUCUGUUUUACACUAGUAACAUACAGGGAGGGAGGCUAAAGCUCUGACAUUUAAUAUCAAUAAGCUAAUAAUCAUACAGCAGCAGGUGGUAUUGAUGCUGUGGCAAACUUAAAUUUCAUCUUUUUAGAGCUUUUAAGUGUUAGCAAAGACUUCUGCACCUUUUGUAUUUCGAUUCAGUAUUGACAAGCCAUGUGAAAUAUGUGUUUAUUUGUCCAGUUUGUUGUUGAUAUUGGUUGUAUUUUGCUUACUUGCCAGACAGAGCUGUUGAUUCAAGUUGGCUUGUGUCAUUUGGGGUGCCAAAUUGAAAUGGAAUGGAAACCAUAAGCAGCACAAACCAGCACUGUCUGGUCCGGGCUUGAUUUAGUCCAGUUCAAGUCAGGACAUACCAACUGGUACCUAUUAUUGUUGGUACAUGAUGACCUCACAAAUUCCCAGCACAGCUUUGUCAAACUUAGACUAGAACACAGGUCUAAUCAGCGAAUCAGUGAAAACAACUGUGCAGGUGUGCAAGCCUUUAAUGUACUGACCAAAUGGUGAAGAUGCCAAUUUUAGUGCUUACAUUAUAGGACAAGUCUUUGGAGUCAAAGGUAGGACGGGUAGGAAGUAUGUGUUGUAGCAUCCUCAUGUUGUGAUGAGAGCAGAUUUCUCAAAAAUGUAAAUGAAAACACUUUUGCUGUCUAAAUCAGAGUUUUAUGUAUCUGCACCCCUUGUCCUCCAUAGCUCCUCUGAGAUGUACCAGUUUGAAAUGUUCGUCAGUGCUCUUCUAGUGUCUGGUGGGUUUGGGGUCUUGAACACGGAUCGCUGCGUACUCCGAAAACUCCUCCUGGGGCCUCCGCGGCCGAGCAGCAGCCCCAACUGGGAGCUGAUGGUUGAGAGCCGCAUACACAACAGAACCCUCCUCUUCCUCCACUGUAUUCCUCUUUCUGUCUCUGUCCCCUUUUAUCUUGCCGUAAAGGCGCUCAUUGUCUCUUGCUAAUGGCAACUCAUUUGGUUGCAAGGGCUGUUCUCUCCGGGUAGAUCUCCGAGAUGGCGGGGCAGAGGGACUUCCUCUUGGUGAGCGCUGGAGGCUGGCAUGGGGGUAUGGUUGCUCUACCAUGGGGAUUGCCAUAUACUGUAAACAUCCAAAAAAGUAUUGAAAUGGUUGAAGGAAUAAAAAAGGGAGGAGGUGGCUGUAUGUUUUAAAUGUAUCUUUGUUUUACCUGAUUUUCAGUUGGCAUCUCUUUCUUUGAUUUCCCUACAUUAUGACAUUUUAGUAUAAUUAGUUACUGUUUUCAGAGCCAUGAUCACAUCCUAUAUGGUAUAUUUAUUCAAAUACUUGGUGGCAUUUUAUCUUGAAAAGGAGAUUUCCCUUUUAAUGAAUAAAGAAUUGGAACGUCUUACCUUUACACCCUCGCAUUGAUGCGACAGAUAAAAUUAUCACUAUGAUGACGAAUGCCACAAUCCCAGCAACAGUGUACAAGUACAUCCAGAGAUUUUCUGGAUCCACAUGUGUGCCACCUGUGAGAAAACAAGGAAAUUUGACUCCAUAUGAAUGUUUUAUGUAUUUAAACCUAGGCUACAGUGUUUGAAAGAACAAAAAACACGUUUUAAUAUUCAGAUUAAAACUAAGUCACGGGAAGCAUGUGGAAUAGCCUAGCUGUGUUGCUGUGAAAUACUAUAUAUGCAAUUUUCUUACUUGUGUCAUUCUUCUUUGUAACAUUGGUAUGCUCAUCAUCACGUACUGUAUAAAACAAUAAAGAAUCUUAAGUCUUAA